rnacentral:rRNA from 1 species
CCUACGGGAGGCAGCAGUGGGGAAUUUUGGACAAUGGGCGCAAGCCUGAUCCAGCAAUGCCGCGUGAGUGAAGAAGGCCUUCGGGUUGUAAAGCUCUUUUGUCAGGGAAGAAACGGUUGGGGCUAAUAUCCUCAGCUAAUGACGGUACCUGAAGAAUAAGCACCGGCUAACUACGUGCCAGCAGCCGCGGUAAUACGUAGGGUGCAAGCGUUAAUCGGAAUUACUGGGCGUAAAGCGUGCGCAGGCGGUUUUGUAAGUCUGUCGUGAAAGCCCCGGGCUUAACCUGGGAAUUGCGAUGGAGACUGCAAGGCUUGAAUCUGGCAGAGGGGGGUAGAAUUCCACGUGUAGCAGUGAAAUGCGUAGAGAUGUGGAGGAACACCGAUGGCGAAGGCAGCCCCCUGGGUCAAGAUUGACGCUCAUGCACGAAAGCGUGGGGAGCAAACAGGAUUAGAUACCCUGGUAGUCCACGCCCUAAACGAUGUCUACUAGUUGUCGGGUCUUAAUUGACUUGGUAACGCAGCUAACGCGUGAAGUAGACCGCCUGGGGAGUACGGUCGCAAGAUUAAAACUUAAAGGAAUUGACGG